ACCUGUUAGUUAUCUCAGUUGGUACAGCAUGAGACUCUUAAUCUCAGGGUUGUGUGUUUGAGCCCCAUAUUAGGCA